AGAAGGCACUAUGAGAUUUAGA
rnacentral:miRNA from 1 species